UGCACAAAUACAAACAAAGAUUACUGAAUAACACAUUUAAUAUUUACUUUUUAACUUAUCUAAAUUUUCUAUCUUUGCAGACAUUUAAGACUCAAAAAUGUUAAUACUCACAAUGAUCAGAUCCAAGUGGUCCACUAAAUGUGCCUAAAUAAGUGUUCCAUGCCGAAGUCGUUUACUACCUAAAUGUUGGUUUUGUGUUAGAAAGAUGGUGGACAAUAAAUAGAUGAGUCUACCAUAUCUUGAGAAAGUCCCUCUGCUCAACUCAGGUGUAUUGAAUUUAACGGAAUUUUAAAGAGAAAGAUUGAAGAUAAGACACAUUGUAGUAGUCGUAUCAUGAACGUAUCUCACGGCCGAAGUCAUUUACCAUUUGCAGUGUGGUAUUUUUUUUUUUUGCAUAAAGAUGGUGGACAAUAAUAAAUAGAUGAGUCUACCAUAUUUUGAGAAAGUCCCUCUGCUCAACUUUGUAUUGAAUUCAACGGAAUUUUAAAGAGAAAGAUUGAAGAAUAACAAACAUUGCUUGUAUUUUACCUGGGAUUAAAACUUCACGCGAGUCCUACCGCAGAACCAAAACAAGUGUCCCAUGGCCGAAGUCAUUUACCAUUUGCAGUGUGGUAUUUUUUUUUUUUGCAUAAAGAUGGUGGACAAUAAUAAAUAGAUGAGUCUAGCAUAUCUUGAGAAAGUCCCUCUGCUCAACUCAGAUGUAUUGAAUUCAACGGAAUUUUAAAGAGAAAGAUUGAAGAAUAACAAACAUUGCUUGUAUUUUACCUGGGAUCAAAACUUCACGCGAGUCCUACCGCAGAACCAAAACAAGUGUCCCAUGGCCGAAGUCAUUUACCAUUUGCAGUGUGGUAUUUUUUUUUUGCAUAAAGAUGGUGGACAAUAAUAAAUAGAUGAGUCUAGCAUAUCUUGAGAAAGUCCCUCUGCUCAACUCAGAUGUAUUGAAUUCAACGGAAUUUUAAAGAGAAAGAUUGAAGAAUAACAAACAUUGCUUGUAUUUUACCUGGGAUCAAAACUUCACGCGAGUCCUACCGCAGAACCAAAACAAGUGUCCCAUGGCCGAAGUCAUUUACCAUUUGCAGUGUGGUAUUUUUUUUUUGCAUAAAGAUGGUGGACAAUAAUAAAUAGAUGAGUCUACCAUAUCUUGAGAAAGUCCCUCUGCUCAACUCAGGUGUAUUGAAUUUAACGGAAUUUUAAAGAGAAAGAUUGAAGAUAAGACACAUUGUAGUAGUCGUAUCAUGAACGUAUCUCACGGCCGAAGUCAUUUACCAUUUGCAGUGUGGUAUUUUUUUUUUUUGCAUAAAGAUGGUGGACAAUAAUAAAUAGAUGAGUCUACCAUAUUUUGAGAAAGUCCCUCUGCUCAACUUUGUAUUGAAUUCAACGGAAUUUUAAAGAGAAAGAUUGAAGAUAAGACACAUUGUAGAAGUCGUAUCAUGAAUGAGUGUCUCACGGCCGAAGUCAUUUACCAUUUGCAGUGUGGUAUUUUUUUGUUUUGCAUAAAGAUGGUGGACAAUAAUAAAUAGAUGAGUCUACCAUAUUUUGAGAAAGUCCCUCUGCUCAACUUUGUAUUGAAUUCAACGGAAUUUUAAAGAGAAAGAUGGUGGAAAAUAAUAAAUCUACCAUAUUUUGAGAAUGUCCCUCUUCUCAACUCAGAUCUCAUGAAUUCAACGGAAUGUUGAGGUUUGUAUGCUAUGCGUGUUGUAUGAUAGCAACCACUUAUAACACUACUCGACAAAAUUCAACUUUUUUUUCCUCAAGGAGCCAAACCGACUUUUUCUGAUAGAUUUGGGGUUUAAAAUUUUUGUUGGCAGGACUUUUAUUUGGUAAAAAAAAAUUAUAUAUUUUGUAUAUGCUUGUUUCAAAGAUAGCGCUUAUAUUUUUCACGUAGUUUAAGUACCUUAAAUCUCGUUUUGAUGAAUUCUUUGUAGCCUUAGGCUUUCAUAUGCAAAGUUUAUAAUUUUUGUUUUUUUUUUCUCUCAGAUUUUUGACUUAGAACUCUGGACAAGUUUAAAAAAAAUUGUAUAGUGUGUCUCUUAUAUAUUUUGUGUAUAGGUGCAUAAUUAGCCGUCGCUUUAAGUAUUGUUCAUACAAAAACGGAGAAAUGGCCAAGCUUAAAUUUAUCGUUUGGAACGUUGAUGGCGCAACUUUUUGGGCCUUUUCAAAAGGCACAAGAAAAUUGUACCAGCUUUUUGUCACAGGAUUUUUGAUUCGUGGUGACAUAAUAGAUAUAUCUGAAGAUAAAGCAUCUCAAAGUUGAGGUUUUCUAAUGUUUCUUCAUAUUUAGCAUUUUUUGUACCCGUACUUGAAGUUAAGAGUUAAGGGCUAUAUUAGAGUUGUGGUAAAAGUGGAUAUGUUUAACGCAGAGAAGUAAUCGUUACCGACCUCAUAAAGUAUAUAUAUUCUUGAUCAGCAUUAAUAACCGAGUCCAUAUAGCCAUGUUUUAUUUUAUUAGUUGAUUUGU